GGGCCCGUAGGUUAGCUUGGCCAAUACUUGACGGCUGGGGGCCGUUAGACUCCGGUUCAAAUCCGGACGGGCCCACCA
rnacentral:tRNA from 2 species